rnacentral:rRNA from 1 species
UGGGGAAUUUUGGACAAUGGGCGCAAGCCUGAUCCAGCCAUGCCGCGUGCGGGAAGAAGGCCUUCGGGUUGUAAACCGCUUUUGUCAGGGAAGAAAUCUUCUGAGUUAAUACCUCGGGAGGAUGACGGUACCUGAAGAAUAAGCACCGGCUAACUACGUGCCAGCAGCCGCGGUAAUACGUAGGGUGCAAGCGUUAAUCGGAAUUACUGGGCGUAAAGCGUGCGCAGGCGGUUUUGUAAGACAGAGGUGAAAUCCCCGGGCUCAACCUGGGAACUGCCUUUGUGACUGCAAGGCUUGAGUGCGGCAGAGGGGGAUGGAAUUCCGCGUGUAGCAGUGAAAUGCGUAGAUAUGCGGAGGAACACCGAUGGCGAAGGCAAUCCCCUGGGCCUGCACUGACGCUCAUGCACGAAAGCGUGGGGAGCAAAACAGGAUUAGAUACCCUGGUAGUCCACGCCCUAAACGAUGUCAACUGGUUGUUGGGAAGGUUCCUUCUCAGUAACGUAGCUAACGCGUGAAGUUGACCGCCUGGGGAGUACGGCCGCAAGGUUGAAACUUAAAUGAAUUGACGGGGUCAUAGCUGUUUCCUG